rnacentral:lncRNA from 10 species
CAGAGUUUCUCCCGCAUCUGCCAUCAGAGGACCGUCGCCCUCAGGAGCCCGAGCUCCCGCGGCUUCUCCGAAAUUGGAGUUCCAGAAGCCAUCCUUGGAUAACAUCUCUAUAAUCUCCUGGGAGAAUCCUUCUUCGAAGAAAUCCUCCAUCAGAGGAGAGUUCUUGGUCUCAGUCACAUCUGAAAGAGCAAGUGCAAAUGUCUCCUGUUCACUAAGGGUGAGAACACAGACAAGAGCAAGUAGGGGUGAUAGAUCUUGAGUCCAGCCUAUCCAUCAAGGGACCCAAAGGGGUGACCCAUGUGGAACUGGCAUCACAGAAAACAGACAGAGCCCAUUCCCAGGAGGGUCAAGAAGGGAGUUGGGAAACCAUAGGGUUCAACGAGGAGGGAGAUUCUACCAUUACCUUCACACCUAAGUGACUGACCAAGUUCCCUAAAAAAUCGCCUGGACUCACCUGCUUCUACUCUCCACUCUAUCCUGUACUGUCACCAAAAUCUUCCUCCUCAUAUCCUGCAUCCUCUAUCCCAGACAACACCCCGCUCUCCCCACACCACCAUCCAUCCAGUUCUCCAUGCUAGAAUCCUGGGAGUCAACCUCCUCCCUACCUCCCUCAACUUGGCACUAUUUUCAUUUGGUCUCUAUCGAAAUGUCUCAACUCCCUUCCUCUCCUCUCUUUAUCACUGACUCAGCAUCUGACCCCAGGCUGCUCAUUGGUCUCCUGUUUGUCUGUCUCUCUCUCUCUCUAGUCUUCCACACUAGCCCUAAAGGGCUUUGUAGUUAAUGGAUCUGACUAUAUCACUCCUCUGAUUAAACCCUUCCAUGGCUUCCUGCCUGGAGAAAAGAAAUGAGUGUAUUAGCCCAGUGUUCUUUGUGCUGACCUCAUAGAACUCUUGCGGUUCCCUAAAUCCACCAGACUUUCUCCUCUGUGCCUUUAAUGGUCCCUCAUGCUGGAUGGCACUUCCUGGACUAACUCCUCUAAGUCUUUUAAUACCCAGCUUAUCACCCUUCUCUGAAAGGCUUCCCUGACAACCCCAUCCCCAUUCUGCUUUAAGUCCCCUGCCCUGUAUUCUCUGAAAACCAGCUGAGCACUGACCAUCCUCUACCAUAACAGGUUAUGAAAGGGUCUGACCCCUGACCCUUACCAGAAGGUAAGUUCUUUAAUGGGGACCUUCCACUGCUCAUCCAUCCACUGCCACAGAGGCGGCCACGAGAAAGAUUCACAGGACAGAGUAAUUCCCAUUCAUGGUAUGCUUGUUCACAGGCAGGAGUGCCUCAGGCACUCUGUUACACUCGACAACCUCCUGUAAGGUAGGCACGUUUCUGCUUUCUUACAGGUAAGUGAGCAGAAGACUGAGGAUUUGAACCCCUCUGACUAUAUAUAUAUAUAUAUAUAUAUAUAUUUUUUUUUUUUUUUUUGGAGACUGAGUCUUGCCCUGUUGCCCAGGCUGAAGUGCUGCACGAUCUCAGCUCAACGCAACCUCUGCCUCCUGGGUUCAAGUGAUUCUCCUGCCUCAGCCUCCCGAGUAGCUGGGACUGCAGGUGCCCUCCACCACGCCCAGCUAAUUUUUGUAUUUUUAGUAGAGACAGAGUUUCAGCAUGUUGGCCAGGCUGGUCUCGAACUCCUGACCUCAAGUGACCGGCCUGCCUCGCCCUCCCAAAGUGCUGGGAUUACAGGUAUGAGCCACCACGCCUGGCCCCCAUAUUCUUAACUACCAAGCUGUAUGCUCUCUGGGAUCCUUCACAAAACAUGAAUGUCACUGCUCUGCUGUAUGCCUCCAGUCUCCCCAUCUCUCCUCUCCUCCAUCAUCAUACCUUUUCCAGCCUGUCCCUUGUGCAGUUCUUGGCUCACCAUCUGAGUAUCUAUGAGACUGCUUAAAGUCUCUCUGCCUGGAAUUAAAACUUGCAAAUGAAAGCCUUCUGAAACCACAUCUUGUUCUGAAUUGUCACCUUUGCCUCUGCUCAUCUCUCCCACAGAUAUCCAGCUCACUCUCCUCACCACACUUGUGCUCAUGUUGUUCCCUCGGCCUCAAAUGCACCAACAGACAUGUAAUAGGCACCCCUUAUAUGCCAAGCAUGAUGUCAGGAGCUGGGAAUACAGGGUGAAUCAGCUAAGCCCUGCUUCCAAGAGCGGCAUGCUGUUAAAGGGGAAAGACGCUUAUGUGGUAACUAUGCAACUCAAGUGUCACUACUAGAGGAUAUGGAGGUAUAUUUGUUAGUAAAGGCAUGGCUACCUAUGUUUGGAAACAGCCAAUAUGCUGAGGUGACAGAAACAGAAAGCAGAAGUUGUGAGAGCCUGUGCAUGAGUUAGUCACCUAUGAGGAACACUGAUGUGCUGAAGAGGAGGCUGCAGAGGCCUCAUGUACACGAGCCUGAGCGUGGUGAGCCAAGAAGGGAGCUGCAGACUGACUGGAUGGGGUACAGCCUGAGAUUCCUGUGGUCUCUGGUUCAGGGCCCUGCUUCUCAUGCUGGGGACGUCUCUACCAUGGGUAAUACCCCAGGAAUCCUCACUCCCAGGACAAGGGGAUGGAAGCCAGCGAGAAGCAGAGUGAAGUCCUGAAGCUGAGCGUUGUAAUGUCUCGGUAGACCUGUGGGAAAGCUGGCUGCAGCCUCAGGAUGGAGGUCUGGAAGACAGAAGGUACACAAGGGGCCCCUCUCCAUCCACUCACCAGGGCUUGUUGCUUCUGGGCUUCCUCCUGCCAGAGGCUCCAGAUCUUCACUGCCAUCUGGGUGGGAGGUCAGGUUGGGUCUUGGGGGGUCUGCAGGGAGAGAAAAGCAUUGUCACCCAACCAGGACAUGGAGGACCAUCCAGACACUCAGUGAGAACCUCCUGGCUCUCCUGACUUUUCUAUGCUUUAUCCUGCACGUGGCUCCUGUGUGUGGACGAGGUGCUGCACUGGGCGACUCUGGGGAUGCCUGUCCUGUAGGGUUCCCAGUCCAGUGAUGGAGAGGGAGCCAAACAAUCACAAUCCAGGGUGAUCAAAGCUGUGACAGCUGGGGCUGGGGAUACAAAGGACUUGUGACAGCUCUUUAAUGGGCAGGAUCUGCCAGGUGGAGAGGCACGUACUUCCUUAGCCAUUCAUGAUUUAUUCACUGACCCAUGGGCCACACAUUGCCUGAGGCCUCCAUGGGCCAGGGACAGAAAAUGUCAGGGUCCCAGAGCCCAAGCAGUCCUGAGCCAUACCCUCCACAAGCUUCCCCAAGGAAGGGAACAGAGUCACCAUCCAGGAGGGAUACAGGCCACAGCGGAGAAAACGCCACUGCUGUCUUUGAAGACUGAGAAGCCAUGAGUCAAGCAAUACAGGUGACCUCCAGAAGCUGGCAACGGGCCAGGAAGGACUAUCUACGUGCUGGAGCCUCCAGAAGGAACAUGGUGGCCCUGCCAACACCUCGCCUCCAGCCCAGCCACAUGCAUUUGGAACUCCUGGCCUCCAGGACUGUAACAUAAUAAAAGUGUGCUGGUGGAAGCCACUGUGUUUGUGGUAUGUGUAACAGCAGCAAUAGGAAACGGAUACACUACUCAUACAUUCACACAAAUGGGUGAAGGGGCAGUCGAGGUAAACACACUUCUUACUGUGGGCUGUAGUUUAAAAAUUCAAAAAGACACUGAGGUAGGACCUCCCACGAGAUGCUUCUUAGCACACACUGGCCAGUCUGGAGAAAGUCUGCCCCAAUGUGAUGAGAUUCUAUCAAAUGAUAGUUUCCACCGUGUGUUAUCUUUUACUUCUUUCAUCUUUUGGAGUAAAUUAUUUUUCUGGUUCUUCAAAAAGAAAGAACUGAGGCAACAGAGAGGGAAAAUGAGUUAAUCAGGUGACACUGAUGGGGAGCUGGGGUGAUAUGGCCUUGGAGCUGCACAGACCUUAGCUGGAGUCUGGGCCCUGCUGCUGUCUCACUGUGUGACACUGGUGUGCAGAAGAGGGCGACACAGCAGGCUGGCUGCUCUCCUGGGAAAAGCCUGCUGGCAAGGCUGGAUUUCAGGGGGGUACCCCGUGUCUCCAGAACUGAAGAGACACGCUCCCUGGACCUAAACUGUGCAAACACGGUGGCUUACACCUGCUUUCCUUCUGGGGGGCUGGAAUUUUGGAAUGUGCCAGGCAGAGGAGCCCACAUGACCAGCCCCCAGUAAAAACCCUGGCACUGAGUCUCUGAUGAGCUUCCCUGGUGGACAGCAUUUCACACGCGAUAUCACAUUCUACAGUAUUGCUGGGGGAAUUAAGCAUGUCCCAUGUGACUCCCCUGAGAGAAUUCUGGAAGCUUGUGCCUGGCUUCCUUGGACUUUGCCCCAUGUACCUCCUCCCUUUGCUGACUGUGCUCUGAAUCUUUUCACUGUAGUAAGUCAUAGCCAUGAGUCUGACUACAGGAUGAGUCCUGGGAAUCCUAGCCAAUCACUGAAUCUGUGGGUGCUCCUGGGGACACUGACACAGCUGGGAAGGUGACUGCCACUCUUUUAACCUCAGUUUCAGACCAAUCGGCAAAAGAGGGACAACCCAGCUUCUUCAUGGGGUGACUGGAGGAUUGAACAAGCAAGUCCUAAGAGCUGCUACUCAAUCAUUCAUUAGUUUAGAGCUGUCUGCUGGGCCCUAGAGCAGGUACUGUUCGUUCCAAACACUGGGGACACGCCCUGUCCUCACACAGCUCCCGCUCUGAAUGAUACAAUGGUAGUUAGAACGUGAGGGAGCGACAGACAAGAUGAGUAGGAGAGGAGGUAUGGAGUUCUAACAGGGUCCCAGGUUAAACUUUAAAAAUGUAAGCCCUGAGAGCCGCUUAGGCAGAGGGGAGGGCAACUGGAAGACUUUGAAGUAUCAGCUUGAAGAAUGACUGACUACAAGUAGGAAAGUGGUGAAGACAAGGCUGGGGAGGCAGAUAGGGGCCAGAGCAGGGUUUCCCAGGCUUAGCACUACUGACACUGGCGUGGGCCAAUCCUUGGUUGUGGGGCUGUGCUGUGCACUGUAGGAUGUGUGGCAGCCUCCCUUGGUUCCACCAGCUAGAUGCUAGCGGCACGCUGCGCUGGCCCAAGGAGUAACAAUCAAAAAUGUCUCCACACAUUGCCAAUGUCUCCUCGGCCAGCUGAGAACUGCUGGGCUAGGUCAUGCUGAUUCUGAGGAGCCCAGGAGCCAGGACUUCACCCUGUGGGUGGUAGAGAGCAUGGGUGAUCACCAAGCAGGGCAGUGAGUAGGCCCCUGGGGACAGGCAACACUCACCCAGCAGGAAGAGGUCCUGGCAAUUGUCCAACGCUGUGUCCCAGAACGUGUCCCCCUGUUCCAGCCCGAGCUGCUCCCAGUCUCCCAAGGUGAAGUCCAUGCCGACAUCCUUGAGGGUCACAAAUUCCUGAAACACAGUACACUAUUGGUCACUCAGAGGCUGGGGUCAGGGAGGAGCCCAACAGCUCACUCAGGGCACUCCCAGCCCUCAAUCUGCCAGGGCUUUGGCAAAAACCAUCCCAUCCUCAGCCUCACAAGAAUCUUGAGAUGUAAGAGACUGGAAACCCCUGUAUUUUGUAGGCAAAGAAAAGGACCUUGACUUUGACCAGGGGACAGGAUGUCAACCGAAGUUAACACAGGUGGGACUGAACCCAGGUCUGCCUGAUCCUAAAAAUCUAUUUUACGCUUUUGCUUUAAGUGUUCAUUCAAGACUUAUUUUGUAAACUUUCAAACAUACAUACAAGUAGAGAUGUAUAUAAUUAACACCCAUGAACUCAUCACCCAGGGGUCAUCUGAUUUCACCUGUGAAUACUUCAGUAUGAACAGUAACUCCUUAAUCACUGAACACCUAGACCACAUUCAAAAUCUGUAUACAGAUUAGUCUGACAUCUCAGUGGUGUGUCUUUAUAGCUAGCUCGUCUCAAUCAGAAUCCAGGGGGCCCAUACCCUGUAACUGAUGUG